rnacentral:rRNA from 1 species
AUUGAACGCUGGCGGCAGGCCUAACACAUGCAAGUCGAGCGGAGCGGCGGACGGGGGAGUAAUGCCUAGGAAUCUGCCUGGUAGUGGAGGAUAACGUCCGGAAACGGGCGCUAAUACCGCAUACUAUCAGAUGAGCCUAGGUCGGAUUAGCUAGUUGGUGGGGGAAAGGCCUACCAAGGCGACGAUCCGUAACUGGUCAGAGAGGAUGAUCAGUAACAUGGGAACUGAAACACGGUCCAGCCUACUACGGGAGGCAGUAGUGGGGAAUAGUGGACAAUGGGCGAAAGCCUGAUCCAGACAUGCCGCGUGUGUGAAGAAGGUCUUCGGAUUGUAAAGCACUUUAAGUUGGGAGGCGUUACCAACAGAAUAAGCACCGGCUAACUUCGUGCCAGCAGCCGCGGUAAUUC